rnacentral:rRNA from 1 species
UACGUAGGGUGCGAGCGUUGUCCGGAAUUAUUGGGCGUAAAGAGCUCGUAGGCGGCUUGUCGCGUCGGAUGUGAAAGCCCGGGGCUUAACUCCGGGUCUGCAUUCGAUACGGGCAGGCUAGAGUUCGGUAGGGGAGAUCGGAAUUCCUGGUGUAGCGGUGAAAUGCGCAGAUAUCAGGAGGAACACCGGUGGCGAAGGCGGGUCUCUGGACCGUAACUGACGCUGAGGUGCGAAAGCGUGGGGAGCAAACAGG